AUUGAACGCUGGCGGCAGGCCUAACACAUGCAAGUCGAGCGGAUGAAGGGUGCUUGCUCCUGUAUUCAGCGGCGGACGGGUGUGUAAUGCCUAGGAAUCUGCCUGGUAGUGUGGGAUAACGUCCGUAAACGGGCUCUAAUACCGCAUACGUCCUGUGGGUGAAAGUGUGGGUUCUUCGGACCUCUCGCUAUCAUAUGUGCCUAGGUCGGAUUAGCUAGUUGGUGGGGUAAAGGCCUACCAAGGCGACGAUCCGUAACUGGUCUGAGAGGAUGAUCAGUCACACUGGAACUGAGACACGGUCCAGACUCCUACGGGAGGCAGCAGUGGGGAAUAUUGGACAAUGGGCGAAAGCAUGAUACAGAAAUGCCGCGUGUGUGAAGAAGGUCUUCGGAUUGUAAAGCACUUUAAGUUGGGAGGAAGGGAAGUAAGUUAAUAACUUGAUGUUUUGACGUUAACAAAAGAAUAAGCACCGGCUAACUUCGUG
rnacentral:rRNA from 1 species